rnacentral:rRNA from 1 species
CCCUUAGAUGUUCUGGGCCGCACGCGCGCUACACUGACGAUGGCAACGAGUUUUUCCUUCGCCGAAAGGUGUGGGUAAUCUUUUGAAACAUCGUCGUGCUGGGGAUAGAUCAUUGCAAUUUUUGAUCUUGAACGAGGAAUUCCUAGUAAGCGCGAGUCAUCAGCUCGCGUUGAUUACGUCCCUGCCCUUUGUACACACCGCCGUCGCUACUACCGAUUGAAUGGUUUAGUGAGGACUCCUGAUUGGCGCCGCCGCCCCGGCAACGGAGCAGCGGACUGCCGAAAAGUUGUUCAAACUUGAUCAUUUAGAGGAAGUAAAAGUCGUAACA